CAGGGAUAGAAACUUGAACUUUCUGGAAAUAAUCACCUUACUUGUGGGGAGGAAUAUGUGAAGAAUCUACUAGAAGGAUCAAGGAUUGGUGUACAUAAUCCAGGCUGGUGUGGAUUUGAUGGUGGUCAUAAUAUUUGCAAAGAAGACAGACAGAUCCCUGGAAAUCUCAUCAGAGAGGGUGGAGAAGAUGGGGGAGAGGUCUUGCAGGAUGUCAGGAUUUGAGCAUCUCAGAUACCCUGCAAACCUCUUCCACAUUCAGAAGAAACCAUCAUGAAAAUCUAUGCUUGGAGAUUUCACUUAGACCUCACCUGUGUCCCCAACGCCCUCAAACAUGAACUCUUGCCACGCCAGCUAUUCAUUGCUUCAGACCCUGCCUUAUCCUACACAUAUUGGCUUAAGAAGCAGUGUGCUUGGCCAGGCGCGGUGGCUCACGCCUGUAAUCCCAGCACUUUGGGAGGCCAAGGCGGGUGGAUCAUGAGGUCAAGAGAUUGAGACCAUCCUGGUCAACAUGGUGAAACCCCGUCUCUACUAAAAAUACAAAAAAAUUAGCUGGGCAUGGUGGUACAUGCCUGUAAUCCCAGCUACUCAGGAGGCUAAGGCAGGAGAAUUGCUUGAACCCAGGAGGCGGAGGUUGCCCUGAGCCAAGAUCAUGCCAUUGCACUCCAGCCUGAGCAACAAAAGUGAGACUCCAACUCAAAAAAAAAAAAAAAGGAAAAAGAAGAGGAAGAGGAGGAGGAGGAGGAACAAGAAGAAGAGGAGAAGCAGCGUGGAGUCUCAGAAGUUCCGGAGAAAUCAUCCACAAUUAACCACACAGUUCGUCCAGCUCUGAGCCUGGGGCUGAGACAUUUGCCACUUCCUGUCCCAUUGGCGCUCCUAUAAGCAUGUCACUGCCCAGUUUCACAGCUCAGACUCCACUGCAGUGGAGUAGAACUUGACGAGUGAGCGUGAGGGUAGAGACAAGAGCCCUGGGGUGAAUGUGAACUCCAUGGUCUCUCACUCUAGUUUCAGUUCUGCUGCUAUUUCCUCGCGGCCUUGGAAAAGUAAGUAAACUUCCUCCACUUGUUCCUCGGCUUUUCCCAUUUAUACAUAAGGUGUUUAGAUCUGGUAAUCCCUUUGACGUGCUAAAAGUAAA